CAAAGAACUUUGAAGAGAGAGUUCAAAAGGACGUGAAACCACUUGCAAGUAAACAGAUGGAACCACGAAGUGUAGCUGAGAGGAGAAUUCAAUUUUACUUAAAGAACAAUUGUGGUUAUGAGUAGUGUGUAUUCUUGGCUUACUUUUCUUGAAGUAAGUUUGAGUAAAGGCAUUUGCUCUUCCACUUAUUAUUAGUGUUCUUUCUUUAGUAAAUGCAUUUUCACUCUUCUCAUGCUCGAGCCUUGUACAAUAGGGUAAUAUUUAAAGGAAAAUAUUACAUGCAAUAAAUAUGCCAUGUGAUCAGUUUGCUAGGGUUCAUUUAUUCUAAUGGAUUUUAUCUAUUUAGUUAUAAAUGUAGACUAUGCUUAUCUGUGUAAUAUAUGUAUGUUUUUUAAACAUUCUAUAUAUUAUAUCAAAACUAUUUUCCACCCUAUUGUUUAUGAAAGUUUCUCUAAGGAGAAUGCUUACAUAGAUUAAGGGUAGGAUAUCUGUUUGUCAUAUUUGUCUAUCAAUUGUUUAUUAGGAUAAUUUUAUUCAUUAAUUGAAUGAGAAUUCCUGAUUGAUAGAUGAACUGAAUAUGCAGCAGAUAAUUCUUUCUGAAACCUACCUGUAUAAUAUGCAUCAUAUUGAAUGUAUAACUGCACAUAUUAAAAUGCCUAUUAGUUUUUCUAAUAGUGUAUUUGUAUGUGUAUGUAAUAUGUUGCAUAAAAUCUAAGGCCAGUAGAUCGGUAAUCCAUCUGACCC
rnacentral:rRNA from 1 species